GAGGGUAUAGCUCAAGUGGUAGAGCACAUGGUUAGCAUGCAUGAGGUCCUGGGUUCAAUUCCCAGUACCUCCU
rnacentral:tRNA from 1 species